GAUGAACGCUGGCGGCGUGCCUAAUACAUGCAAGUCGAGCGAACAGACGAGGAGCUUGCUCCUCUGACGUUAGCGGCGGACGGGUGAGUAACGCGUGGAUAACCUACCUAUAAGACUGGGAUAACUUCGGGAAACCGGAGCUAAUACCGGAUAAUAUAUUGAACCGCAUGGUUCAAUAGUUAAAGACGGUUUUGCUGUCACUUAUAGAUGGAUCCGCGCCGCAUUAGCUAGUUGGUAAGGUAACGGCUUACCAAGGCAACGAUGCGUAGCCGACCUGAGAGGGUGAUCGGCCACACUGGAACUGAGACACGGUCCAGACUCCUACGGGAGGCAGCAGUAGGGAAUCUUCCGCAAUGGGCGAAAGCCUGACGGAGCAACGCCGCGUGAGUGAUGAAGGUCUUCGGAUCGUAAAACUCUGUUAUUAGGGAAGAAAAAAUGUGUAAGUAAAUAUGCACGUCUUGACGGUACCUAAUCAGAAAGCAACGGCUAACUACGUG
rnacentral:rRNA from 1 species